UAAUUUUCGGAUCAUAGAUUGGAGGCCGUUCGGGUGGUCGCGCAAGAGAUCGGGCCAAACCGAGUGCCGGGUGCCGCGGGCGGCCGAUUGCAAAUGUCGACAAGCAAUCGGAAUGCGAAAUGAGGUGGGUUGUGCUUACCGAAGCGACUAGGUCGCCCUUUAUGUCUAAGAAAUGAGAUUUCAUAUUGAUACAUAUUGACAUAAUAUAAGAAUAUGAAAGGAAUGCAUGUUAACAUACUAUAGAAUAUGCUAAAUGUAAUGCAUAAUGAAUUAAGUGCUAAAAGAAUGCAUGAGAUGCUAAGUAUGGACUAUUUUGGAUAAUGACUAUAUGUAUGUUGACAAAUCAUGUGAUGCUAGUGGUAUAUGUGCAUGAUGAUAUAUUAUGAAUUUACAUAUUGUGGAUUAUGUUAAAUAGAAAAACAUACUUGAUGACAUAUUGCUAUGUUGUGGAACAUAGCGGACAAUCUAUAUAUAUAUUAGAUCGAGUGGCAUUAAACCUAGCAUCUUGAACCUAGCAAACACUUGUGGUGAUUGAUCAUGUAUAUUCUGGUGUCAUUCAUGUAUGUUAGGACCCUAUUAUUGUGUAAAUGUGAGAGUUGGACUUGAACAUUAGUAAACAAGGGUGACAGUGACAAUAGAGACAUGAUUGGCAUCAAGAAAGUGAUUGUUAAACAUAGUUUAACCAUAUUGACAUUGGUCCAAGUUGACAUAGAGAGUGGCAUGAUUAAAUAGGUAGAGACCUAUCAUGACAUUGGCAUUGUGACGAGUGGCUAUGAAUCCUCAAGUUGAGGAUUGGAUCGAUACUCACGUUACGUCUUGGCUUGAGGGAGGUAGCUCCCCCUCGGGCGGUGCGCUCCGGAGUUGGUCACCACUGGGCG
rnacentral:lncRNA from 1 species